UAGGAAAUAUCACAAACGAACAAAUCUCAAUAUUGUCUGAGACAUACGAAACUGACCUCUGGCAUGUAAUUUUGACGAAUUCAAUUUGGAGUUCGCUCGAUGCCGAACAAGUACGCUGGUUUAUAACAUCUCGCGAGUGCUACCAUGCCAUGAUGGCCCUGAGAUCUAUCAGUCACGGUACUACGUAUGUAAUUGAAAACAAAUGUACGAUCAACAAUGAACAACGACAUUUACAUAGCAUUACUGCAUAUUCAUCGGGAUUUCAGUGUGAAUGUUGACAAUAGAGAAGUUUGUUUCUGCCCAGACCCGAAGAGCAGAUUUUGGACAAUUUUGAGUAAAUUUUGUAUCACAAAUAUGUGUUGUUUAUGUAUUACUAUAUUCAGAAGAUUUAUUAAUAAUUUUACAUUCAUAAAUUUUUAUCUACAUAUAGCUCCUCUUUUGAUCGUCUUAUGACCGAAAACAGAAAAAAAAAAUUCUGCAUAAUAGGGUCCCAAAAUUUU
rnacentral:lncRNA from 1 species